UACGUAGGGUGCGAGCGUUGUCCGGAAUUAUUGGGCGUAAAGGGCUCGUAGGCGGUUUGUCGCGUCGGGAGUGAAAACCCAGGGCUUAACCCUGGGCUGGCUUCCGAUACGGGCAGACUAGAGGUAUGCAGGGGAGAACGGAAUUCCUGGUGUAGCGGUGAAAUGCGCAGAUAUCAGGAAGAACACCAAUGGCGAAGGCAGCUCUCUGGGACGGUACUGACGCUGAGACGCGAAAGCGUGGGGAGCGAACAGG
rnacentral:rRNA from 1 species